ACAAUCGGUUGUUCAGUGGUAAAAUGCUCGCCUGCCACGUGGGCGGCCCGGGUUCGAUUCCCGGCCGAUGCA
rnacentral:tRNA from 1 species